rnacentral:rRNA from 1 species
GACGAACGCUGGCGGCGUGCUUAACACAUGCAAGUCGAACGGAAAGGCCCUGCUUUUGUGGGGUGCUCGAGUGGCGAACGGGUGAGUAACACGUGAGUAACCUGCCCUUGACUUUGGGAUAACUUCAGGAAACUGGGGCUCAUACCGGAUAGGAGCUCCUGCUGCAUGGUGGGGGUUGGAAAGUUUCGGCGGUUGGGGAUGGACUCGCGGCUUAUCAGCUUGUUGGUGGGGUAGUGGCUUACCAAGGCUUUGACGGGUAGCCGGCCUGAGAGGGUGACCGGCCACAUUGGGACUGAGAUACGGCCCAGACUCCUACGGGAGGCAGCAGUGGGGAAUAUUGCACAAUGGGCGGAAGCCUGAUGCAGCAACGCCGCGUGCGGGAGGACGGCCUUCGGGUGGUAAACCGCUUUCGCCUGUGACGAAGCGUGAGUGACGGUAAUGGGGAAAGAAGCACCGGCUAACUACGU